ensembl:misc_RNA Metazoa_SRP Metazoan signal recognition particle RNA
GCUGGGCAUGGUGGUGCAUGUCUGUAGUCCCAGCUACUUGGGAGGCUGAGGUAGAAGGAUUGCUUGAGUCUGGGAGGUUGAGGCUGCAGUGAGCCAUGAUUGUGCCACUGCACUCCAGCCUGGGCCACAGAGUGAGACCCUAUCUCCA